UAAGCAAGAGCGUCUGGGGGAUGCCUAAGGCUUCUGGUGGCGAUGAAGGACGUGGCAAGCGACGAAAUGCUUAGGGGACCCGCUGGCAGGGGCUGAUCCUAAGGUGUCCGAAUGGGGCAACCCAUCAUGCUGAAGGCAUGAUACUCUUUCGAGAG
rnacentral:rRNA from 1 species